UCUGUAGCUCAGUCGGUAGAGCAGUGGACUGAAAAUCCACGUGUCACUGGUUCGAUUCCGGUCGGA
rnacentral:tRNA from 1 species